CUGGCAUUGGGGUUGGUGUGACUCCGAUGGCCAGCUGGGCAGCUCUUUCCACGAUGGCUUUGCGGUUCUUGGAGGAAACAUCUCAGCACAAUUAUAAAAACUUCCUCUCUAAUCAAGGCUUUUAACAUGAACAGAUUUCUUGAAUAAAAUGGAAAGUUUCCAGUACACUGAAACAUAAAUCCUCAAGUUGUCAUACGUACAACACCCGGCAGGAAAAAACAAAAACAGCAAGUUUACAUGAUCCCUGUAACAGCCACAGUCUCAAACUCAGAUGCUUCCUCCAUCUGCCAAGUGUAUUCUGGAUACAGACAACAUCGUGGCUUCUGGGGUCAUAUUCAGCUGAGGCUGUGGGUCCACACAGCACUCAUCUGGCUGGGCUAUGGUGGUGGUGGCUCUACCCAAGAAGCAAAGCAGUUACCAGCACAUUGAAACAGUGCAUUGAACAUCUUCUAAAUAUGAAAGUGAGAAACAAGAAGGCAACAUAAAAUGUUGUCAGAAAGAUGUUAGAAGUAAGGACAGCUGUGUAAAGCUUGAGGCUGAAAAGCAGCUUGCCAGCUUCAUUUCUUUGGCUUCUUGGGUAGUGGGCACCGGAACAGCAAAAUGUGAGGUUCUGGUUCAUGGAUCAUAUAAUAGACCCAUCCCUGACUCUGCUGAACGCCAAGAUUCCUCCAUUCAGAUUCAGACAUCAAAUGGGUUUUACGGACCAGCUUGGCUAUGUCCUUGGGCAGCACGACAUGUCGAUACUCAAACUCCUCGUCGUCGUAU
rnacentral:antisense_RNA from 1 species